rnacentral:rRNA from 1 species
GUCGAGCGGUAAGGCUUUCACUCUGUACUUAAUUUUUUGAGUAUGGUGUGAAAGUACACGAGCGGCGGACGGCUGAGUAACGCGUAGGAAUGUACCCCAAAGUGAGGAAUAAGCCCGGGAAACCGGGUCUAAUGCCGCAUAAUCUCUUCGGAGGAAAGCCUUCGGGCGCUAUGGGAGCGGCCUGCGUAUGAUUAGCUUGUUGGUGAGGUAAAGGCUCACCAAGGCGACGAUCAUUAGCUGGUCUGAGAGGAUGACCAGCCAGACUGGGACUGAGAACGGCCCAGACCCCUACGGGGGGCAGCAAUUAGGAAUCUUUCACAAUGGGGGAAACCCUGAUGGAGCAACGCCGCGUGCAGGAGGAAGGCCUUCGGGUUGUAAACUGCUUUUAUCUGUGAAGAUUAUGACGGUAGCAGAUGAAUAAGGACCGGCUAACUCCGUGCCAGCAGCCGCGGUCAUACGGAGGGUCCAAGCGUUAUCCGGAAUUACUGGGCGUAAAGAGUUGCGUAGGUGGCAAUAUAAGCAAAUAGUGAAAGCGUGCGGCUCAACCGCAUAAACAUUAUUUGAACUGUAUAGCUUGAGUAUGGGAGAGGUAGAUGGAAUUUCUAGUGUAGGAGUGAAAUCCGUAGAUAUUAGAAGGAACACCGAUGGCGUAGGCAGUCUACUGGCCCAUUACUGACACUAAGGCACGAAAGCGUGGGGAGCGAACGGGAUUAGAUACCCCGGUAGUCCACGCCGUAAACUAUGGAUGCUAGCUGUUAUCAGUAUCGACCCUGGUAGUAGCGAAGCUAACGCGUUAAGCAUCCCGCCUGUGGAGUAC